rnacentral:rRNA from 1 species
GAUGAACGCUGGCGGCGUGCCUAAUACAUGCAAGUCGAGCGAACAGACGAGGAGCUUGCUCCUCUGACGUUAGCGGCGGACGGGUGAGUAACACGUGGAUAACCUACCUAUAAGACUGGGAUAACUUCGGGAAACCGGAGCUAAUACCGGAUAAUAUAUUGAACCGCAUGGUUCAAUAGUGAAAGACGGUUUUGCUGUCACUUAUAGAUGGAUCCGCGCCGCAUUAGCUAGUUGGUAAGGUAACGGCUUACCAAGGCAACGAUGCGUAGCCGACCUGAGAGGGUGAUCGGCCACACUGGAACUGAGACACGGUCCAGACUCCUACGGGAGGCAGCAGUAGGGAAUCUUCCGCAAUGGGCGAAAGCCUGACGGAGCAACGCCGCGGGAGUGAUGAAGGUCCUCGGAUCGUAAAACGCUGUUAUUAGGGAAGAACAAAUGUGUAAGUAACUAUGCACGUCUUGACGGUACCUAAUCAGAAAGCCACGGCUAACUACGU